AACGAACGCUGGCGGCGUGCCUAACACAUGCAAGUCGUGCGAGAAAGUUCCUUCGGGAGCGAGUAAAGCGGCGCACGGGUGAGUAACACGUAGGUAACCUGCCCCCCCAGUCUGGAACAACUAGAGGAAACUCUAGCUAAUGCCGGAUGAGACCACGAUCCCUUCGGGGGUUGCGGCCAAAGAUGGCCUCUACUUGUAAGCUAUCGCUGAGGGAUGGGCCUGCGGGCCAUUAGCUUGUUGGUGAGGUAACGGCUCACCAAGGCUGUGAUGGCUAGCUGGUCUGAGAGGAUGACCAGCCACACUGGGACUGAGACACGGCCCAGACUCCUACGGGAGGCAGCAGUGGGGAAUAUUGCGCAAUGGGCGAAAGCCUGACGCAGCGACGCCGCGUGGGUGAUGAAGGCC
rnacentral:rRNA from 1 species